CUGGCACCAUGGGCCGGCUGCAUUGCACGCAGGACCCGGUGCCCGAGGCCGUGCGUGGCGACAUGCAGCAGCUGAACCAGCUGGGCGCGCAGCAGUUCUCGGCCCUGACAGAAGUGCUUUUCCAUUUCCUAACUGAGCCCAAAGAGGUGGAGCGCUUUCUGGCUCAGCUCUCUGAAUUCGCCACCACCAAUCAGAUCAGUCUUGGCCCCCUCAAAAGCAUCAUGAAAAGUCUCCUUCUGGUUCCAAAUGGUGAGUUGACUCUUGACAGGUCUCCACAGAGACACUGCUGCUGCCUACGCCUUCCUUCCUGGAGUUAGGGAGUCACCCGGGCAGCAUCCAGUAAAUAGCCGGACAUGGCAGGGCCUAACUGUCUGGAGCAGACGACGGGUGUGGAGACAAAUGUUACAACUUUCCAUAUGUUCCCUGGUCUGUGUCUGUGGACUCAACCAACCAUGAAAGGAUCAAAAACAUCUUUAAAAUCAGAAGGCAUAGCAUACACCUUAAACGUUCUAAAAAUUGUGCCUAUAUGCAGCAUGGACAGACAUGCUUUUGCUCAUUAUUCCCAAAUAAAGUGCUAUAACUAAC
rnacentral:lncRNA from 1 species